UACAGAGGGUGCGAGCGUUAAUCGGAAUUACUGGGCGUAAAGCGUGCGUAGGUGGUUUGUUAAGUCUGUUGUGAAAGCCCCGGGCUCAACCUGGGAAUGGCAAUGGAUACUGGCAAGCUAGAGUGCGGUAGAGGGUAGUGGAAUUCCCGGUGUAGCGGUGAAAUGCGUAGAGAUCGGGAGGAACACCAAUAGCGAAGGCAGCUCGCUGGGACGUUACCGACACUGAGGCGCGAAAGCGUGGGGAGCGAACAGG
rnacentral:rRNA from 1 species